AAGGGCCGCAGUAUUUUGACUGUGCAAAGGUAGCAUAAUCAAUAGUUUUUUAAUUGAAAGCUUGAAUGAAUGAUUGGACGAGAUAAAUACUGUCUUCUUAAUAAUUUAAAUUAUAAUUUAAUUUUUAAGUUAAAAAGCUUAAAUAAUUAUAAAAGACGAGAAGACCCUAUAGAUUUUUAUAUUUAAUUUAAUUUAAUUUAAUUAGGAUUAUUUUUUUUUAAUUUAUUUUAAAUAUUUUAUUGGGGUAAUAUAAAGAUUAAAAAAAUUCUUUUUUUUUAUUACAUUAAUGUAUGAAUAUAUGAUCCAAUUUUAUUGAUUAUAAGAUUAAAUUACCUUAGGGAUAACAGCGUAAUUUUUUUUAAGAGUUCUUAUCGAUAAAAAAGUUUGCGACCUCGAUGUUGGAUUAAAGAUUAAUUUAGGUGUAGAAGUUUAAAUAUUUGGUCUGUUCGACCAUUAAAUCUUUACAUGAUCUGAGUUCAGACCGGUGUAAACCAGGUCGGUUUCUAUCUUUAUUAAAAUUUAAUAUUUUAGUACGAAAGGACCAAAUAUUAUUUAUAUUUAUAAAUAUUUAUUGAAUAUUAUUGUUAUUUUGGCAGAUUAGUGCAAUGAAUUUAGAUUUCAUAAAUAUAAUUUAUAAUUAUAGAUAAUAU
rnacentral:misc_RNA from 1 species